UUGAACCUUCGGGAUCAAGGUAA
rnacentral:rRNA from 1 species